rnacentral:rRNA from 1 species
AUUGAACGCUGGCGGCAGGCCUAACACAUGCAAGUCGAACGGGUGGCGGACGGGUGAGUAGUUUCUUGGAACCUGCCUGAUGUAGGGGGAUAACUACUGGAAACGUUAGCUAAUACCGCAUACCAUCGGAUGUGCCCAGAUGGGUUUAGCUAGUAGGUGGGGUAACGGCUCACCUAGGCGACGAUGCCUAGCUGGUCUGAGAGGGUGACCAGCCACACUGGAACUGAGACACGGUCCAGACUCCUACGGGAGGCAGCAGUGGGGAAUAUUGCACAAUGGGCGAAAGUCUGAUGGAGCAAUGCCGCGUGUAUGAAGAAGGUUUUCGGGUUGUAAAGUACUGUCGGCGGGGAGGCGUUACCCGCAGAAGAAGCACCGGCUAACUCCGUGCCAGCAGCCGCGGUAAUUC